rnacentral:rRNA from 1 species
AAUACGGAGGGCGCGAGCGUUACCCGGAUUUACUGGGCGUAAAGGGCGUGUAGGCGGCCUGGGGCGUCCCAUGUGAAAGACCACGGCUCAACCGUGGGGGAGCGUGGGAUACGCUCAGGCUAGACGGUGGGAGAGGGUGGUGGAAUUCCCGGAGUAGCGGUGAAAUGCGCAGAUACCGGGAGGAACGCCGAUGGCGAAGGCAGCCGCCUGGUCCACUUGUGACGCUGAGGCGCGAAAGCGUGGGGAGCAAACCGGAUUAGAUACCCGGGUAGUCCACGCCCUAAACGAUGCGCGCUAGGUCUUUGGGGUUACUGGGGGCCGAAGCCAACGCGUUAAGCGCGCCGCCUGGGGAGUACGGCCGCAAGGCU